rnacentral:rRNA from 1 species
GACGAACGCUGGCGGCGUGGAUUAGGCAUGCAAGUCGGACGGUAGGGCUUUAUCGUAAGAUAGAGUUUGAGAGUGGCGAACGGGUGAGUAACACGUAGGAAUCUACCCUUAAGACGGGGACAACCCAGGGAAACUUGGGCUAAUACCGGAUGAGAGUGCGAGAGAUUGCAUUUAAAAGGAUGGCGAAAGUUGUCGCUUAGGGAUGAGCCUGCGGUCUAUUAGUUAGUUGGUGAGGUAACGGCUCACCAAGGCGACGAUGGGUAGCCGGCCUGAGAGGGUGGACGGCCACACUGGGACUGAGACACGGCCCAGACUCCUACGGGAGGCAGCAGUAGGGAAUAUUGCGCAAUGGACGGAAGUCUGACGCAGCGACGCCGCGUGAGCGAUGAAGGUCUUCGGAUCGUAAAGCUCUGUCCUUGGGGAAGAAGGCGAAAGCUUGACGGUACCAAGAAGAAAGCCCCGGCUAACUACGUG